GUUUGCUUGUGAUUCGUUACGCUAGGUUAGAUUAGGUUAGGUUAAGUUAGGUUAGAUUCAUUCGUACAACAUCAUACGAUGUUAUUAUUCGCUAUGGAUUCAAAUCCGGUAAUAACCAGGAGUUCUAUAAAUUGAAAGUGUUGCCAGAAUAAUCUUAGAGAAAAAAAUGGACCACGAAGAGGAGUUUCUCAGUAAUUUUUUUACCCAAGUAUCGCAGCUCUGUGUUGACAAGGCGAAAGAAUCUGUGGAAAAGGAGAAGGAAUUAUGUCGUACCAUGCAAACGGGUCCUUGGGGAUUGCUGUUGACGGAUCUGCCACAAAUUGCAGUCGCAGAGCGAUCUUACGCGGACUUGGGCUUUCUGCAUACUAAGAAUAAGGGCUUUCUGAGAAAGGAUAAUUCCUUGCGCACAAUAUACGAGUCGUCCAGAUCAGACCUCAAGAAGGUGGAAGAUGCAAGUCGUGGAUUCAAUGCGAUCGGAGCAACUGUUGCAGAGGUCUCGGGUCAGCUCUGCCAAUUUCUUACGGCGAGAAUACAGCUGAUAGAUUUCUACGAGAAGAUGUACAGCAUGGGAACAAGCAGAAGUGUCAAAUAUCAAGAGCUGCUCCAGGUUAUAACUGGAAUUGUGGACGUGCAUUCGCUCUCUUGUUCACACUUGGCGCUCAUCGCUAUCAAAACCGCUCUGACUCUAGAGUGUGAAAUACUAGUCGAACUACUCAACGCACAAAUCGAAAUUCAGAACUGGCGGUUUUUGCCUGCCCUUAUGGCUCUAUACGGCGCCCAAACUCGAAUGUCUGCAUGGGAAAGAACCUUGCAGAGUAAAGAGUCGUGGAAGUUGGGAUUCGGGUCAACUUUUCUGAAAACUAAUCCACAGCCGGCGUUAUAUCAAUGGCUUGUAAAAUUGAAGAACAGCAUACUGGCUAAAUGCUCUCUCUAUUUUCACGCUACGCUUAGUCAACAGGCUAGUACAGGUGAAAUGAGAAGUAUCAUGAGCAAACAGAGCUGCGACUAUUAUCACAAAAUGCAAACAUUCCAAAGAAAAUAUGAUCUCAUCGCUGUCCUGAUAGUCUUUCAUGCCACAGGGGCAGACAGCCCUGGUCCAGGAUACACGCACCCUAAGCGAGAAGUCGAUACGUCUGAAGAAUUUUCCAUCAUGGUCAGCUGUCCGAGUGUCUACAUGCAAAUGCCCUGCCAGCAUUGGAACAGCAUCACCAAAGCAAUGAAGGAGCGACACCCGGAUCUCUUGAGCAUGGACAAGAUUAUAUACACGAAAAGUUUGAAGGAGCUCUGCACCUAUGCAAUGAACAACAUAGAUCCACGAACGACACUUGUGGUUGUUUUCGAUACCAGCAAACAACGUGACAAGGAAUCCCACGUAGCGACUUUCAUGCAGGAAAUAUGCGUUCAACUCAGAUGCAGCAAAGUUUACGAAAGCCUGAAGCUGUCGAAGUGAAAAAUAAGCAGAGAUAUUCUCGAAGGUCCGGAGAUACGAGAGUUUGAAGAUCACCGUGCACAAAUGUUCGCCGUAUUUUUGAAAUUUCCGAUUUCGUGUAACUCCGAAAGUAUUGAAAGUAAAAUUCGAAUGAAAUUUGGGAAGUUACUCAUUUCCAUGCAACUGUCUUCACACCUAGUGCCCGUUAUAAGAAUUACAGAAUAAAGCGUUGAUUUCAACAUCUGCUGAGACUCGCUAAUAUCACUGUCAAUCAAUAUGGAUCGACAGAUGUACUUUAUGAGGUUCAUAACAAUGUUGAAUAAGUACAUAAAACGACAGAAAAGUAAUAUCAGACGCUAGAGAAUGAACAGAGUUACAAUAAAAUACAGGCAGAAUUAUCGCUCAAAGAGUACAAGAUAAAGCAGACUGCCCACGAUCAAAUGAGGAGAAUCACAAAAAACAAGUCACGUGUACCGCAUCAAAAUUCGCAAUAGUGCAACUGAUUAACAAACAAAAGGGUCUUUCCGUGACCUUCGUGCCACGGGCACCCGGCGAACCGAGCCAUGAUGCCAACAGAAGUUGCGGGGCGAUGUGGGCUGACGGAAGAGGAUUGGCUCCAGUGGCGUGCGACACAAAGCGGCAUUUUCUCUGCGAAAUUUCGAGACCAAAGUACGACGAUUAGUCGCGAUAGAUCCUUACGAUCUGAUACCACAUUGCAUUAAAUUGAAGAAGUGAAAAAGUCAUACUGCAGCCACGGAACGCUAGUCAUCAAUCGAAUAAUUAAUUUCUCAAAUUGGAAACUGAAAAGUCAGUAUAAUCGCUCUCGACGCAGGGAAGUGGUGAGUGUAAACGGCGGAUGCGGCGAGUCACAGUGGCAAAGGUCGGCCUGGUCGGCCAUCCGGUCAACAUAUGAGUUCUACGCGUCCGACCGACGCGAUUGUUUCCACUGUCCGCCGUCCCGCCGCAUUGACUCGUUCUACUUGCCGCCACGCGCGUAAUUCCGUUGCAUCUGCGGCGGAAAAGGAUAGCGGACCGGAAGCGUUAUCCGCCGAUAACAAAUUCCCAUCACGUUUAAGUUGUUGACGUCAUUGUAACGACGAGUGUUGAAAGGAACCGUUGUUUCGCAAAUUUAAAACCGUCCGAACUGCGGUAAAUCGUGUAAAGCAAGGCGUCCUAAUAUUUUGAAAAUUUAGCAUCUUCGAAGUCAUUGUAAAAUCCAAAAAUAUUGCAUUUUUUUCCCGAUGUCUCGAUAACGUUACGGCAACUUUACUGACUGUAACCUCGUGAAUUCCCCCGAUUGACGGCAUCGAAUGCGAUAGAAAAAAGGUGACGAAACUACCAGAACACGAGGAAUUUAGAAAUGUUUGAAGUGUGUCUUUAAAGCCAAUCUACGGUUGAAUCUGCGUUCAGUAUAAAAAAAAAAUUGUUUAAAACACUCAAGCUUGACUGCGGAACACAUCUUAUUAUGUUGGUAAAAAAAAUAAAAUAAAAAUCACAUUAACCUGUAACUUUUUACCAAAAUAUCCAUGUCACCUGUUCGAUUCUGAUGAAAAAUAGGUCAUUUCAUUCGUAAGUAUAUUCUCUAAUGUGUGAAUUUUAUCCCUGAAUUGGAUAAAAUAGAUCGCGAGAAUUGCAGAUCUCUGAUGAAACGUACAAUCCGUCUCAAUUCACCCGAUUACGCGAACUUUUCGAUUAUAUUUUAAAAGACCUCUGUUUUUCUGACGAAGUUCAUUGGACACAAUUUCGACCCAACUGCAUGUUUCGUAAACCUUGAAGACUAGACCAAAACAGGGCUUCGGGAAACAUCAUAUUGCAGUACGAGAUUGACGCUUCGUCAAUUGUUUCGACGUUAGUCGGACUCCGGUGGAGAUUUCUGAUUAUGAACCGAAGCAAGUUUGAGAACGAUUAAAAUUAUGUCUCUGUUACUGAUUGAUUUGUAUAGUUGAAUUUAUAUUACUUCAAUAUCUCGGUUAAUCUUUUUAUCUCUCAGUGUAUCAAUUAAAUAAAAUGAAUUAAUAAGA
rnacentral:misc_RNA from 1 species